GUUCAAGAUGGGGCCACUUGGGAGAUCUUGAAUAAAGAGCUUUCCAUAUAGCUCCAUAGGUAAGGGGUGCUAGAGUCCAUCCCUAAGGGGCUGUUUACUGAAUGGGCUGUGUACCCAGAGGGAGCAGUGUAUGUAGUGGCUUUACUGGAUACCCAUCAUUGGUCUUUCCUGACCAAUGAGGAGGGGUCAGAGGUUCAGUUUUCUGAUCUCCCACAGAAACAGGUGGGGCUAAAGUCCAGACUUCCUGGUCUGUUUAUAUGUGAGGAACCAGAGACUGUCCUGCCUCAUUCCUGCAUUCCCAUGUUCUUGAGGAAGACUCAGAAGGAUACAGACGGUACCAGCCCCACCUUCUCUAGCAGUCACUUCUAG
rnacentral:lncRNA from 1 species